GUAGCUAAAUGCGGAAGAGAUAAGUGCUGAAAGCAUCUAAGCACGAAACUUGCCCCGAGAUGAGUUCUCCCUGAGACUUAAAGUCUCCUGAAGGAACGUUGAAGACGACGACGUUGAUAGGCCGGGUGUGUAAGCGCAGCGAUGCGUUGAGCUAACCGGUACUAAUGAACCGUGAGGCUUAACCUUACAACGCCGAAG
rnacentral:rRNA from 1 species